UACGUAGGGUGCGAGCGUUAAUCGGAAUUACUGGGCGUAAAGGGUGCGCAGGCGGUUUUAUAAGACAGGUGUGAAAUCCCCGGGCUCAACCUGGGAACUGCGUUUGUGACUGUAUGACUAGAGUACGGUAGAGAGGGGUGGAAUUCCCAGUGUAGCGGUGAAAUGCGUAGAUAUUGGGAGGAACACCAGUGGCGAAGGCGGCUCACUGGACCGGUUCUGACGCUGAUGCGCGAAAGCGUGGGGAGCAAGCGGG
rnacentral:rRNA from 1 species